rnacentral:lncRNA from 1 species
GUCCGAAAGAAUAUAUGCUUUCCGACUGAAGCUCGGAGUACCAGGCUCGAGCAGCUUUCCGAAGAGUUUUCGGAAAGCCGAUACAUAAGAGGGUAUCGGUCGCCUCCUGAAUCGUCGUUAGAGUCUUAUGGCUCUCAAGAUGGUCGAUCAGAUCGGUGGAUCCGUCGUAUGGUUCCACCUGAGGCAUCUUGAACCGAGAUGUGAUCGAUUGAUCCAAGACGUGCCGAGAAAGUGGCUGGGCAGUGUGGAAGUCGUAGUCGUUGGAGGACUCCCGACCUUCCACUUGAAGCUGAGCAAGUUGGCGAUUGAUCUCUUGGAAUUUACGUUCAUAAUCAUCAAAUUGCCAUUGGGAAACUCCGAGGAUAGAACCACUCGACGAGUUUGAAGGAGACACGGAGGGCGUUCGCGGUCGUUUCCCCUUCCUAAUACUACU